UCUCUGUAUUGCAGAUGCCUACCAUCGGGAAGUUAGGUAAAUUUUGCAGUCUCACAGACAGUGGCUUUGGAGAGUCCCAGGCCGUUCUGAUUCCAGAUCUGAAGCGCAUGCUUCUGCCGUUCCUCCUCUAGCCAUCUCCACAUCACUAUGAACACUUUGGAUGCUCUCUGGACCUUCUGAAGCACGGAUGUCUCUUCUGUGACAAAUGUCAGAUAAUGACCUUCAGCCUGAAAAGUUCACUGAGAAAGUCAGUAACAAUUCCUGUCAUUGCUUUGUAUCCCUGAUAAUUGUGCUCAGAAAAGAGCUGACGUGACCAGUGCACUGAAGAUGUUGUUCCUGGUUCUUUUAAAGGGCAUCUCUGUCAAUUUUGCUGCUGUGGACAUCUAUCCUUCCUUA